UAGCGAAGGGGGCUAGCGUUGCUCGGAUUUACUGGGCGUAAAGCGCGUGUAGGCGGAGUGGGGACGUCGGUCGCUGAAAGCCCCCCGGCUCAACCGGGGAACGGGCGCCGAAACGCCCCGUCUGGAGGGACGUAGGGGGACCUGGAACUUCCGGUGGAGCGGUGAAAUGCGCAGAUAUCAGGAGGAACACCAAUGGCGAAGGCAGCUCGCUGGGACGGUACUGACGCUGAGACGCGAAAGCGUGGGGAGCAAACAGG
rnacentral:rRNA from 1 species